rnacentral:lncRNA from 1 species
GGUGGAGUAAUGGGGUCAGACUCACCAUUCCAGUUUAACUGAAGCACAAGAAGACCCACAUGUAACAGUGCCUCCCACACGCUGGACUCAGGCAGUACCUGCUGGUGGCCCCUGAGAGAGACAAGAGCUGAGUGGAGCCCCGCAUCGCUCCAGCGACUGCCUGGGAGCCUGCAGGCCAGCCGGAGACGGGGAACCAGCUCGGAGCCCUGCUCCCAUCAGGGGGAGGAGAGACCGAGGGCUGCAGCUGCGUACCUGUCAGUAUGUGGCUCUGAGGAAACCCCCAGCGAUAAGAAGGACCAGCUCAAAGACAGCAGAUGAGCCCGAGCUCACACAGGCCAGAAGUAAGUUGUGUUCCCUCCAGGAAACACGAGGAAACCCUGGCACACAGGAUGCUGAGGACCCUGUGCUUUGGUAGUGGGGUUCAGUAGGGUAAGUGCUGUUUGGGCCCAUAAGACAAAGCUUAAAAGUGAGCCUCACAGGAUCAAAGUGAUGCAAAGUAACUAAAAUGGAUAAAACAGAAACCAGAGUUCAGUAUUUUAAAAUAUAUAAUAUUCAACACACAAUGAAAUAAAGUUCACAAUGUCUGGCAUCUAAACAAAAAUUAGCAACCUAUGAAUGAUCAAUAAGACAGUACCUAUAAUGAGAAGAAAAAAAAAAAACCCACUGAAAUUGACCAAGAAAUGGACAGAUGGUAGAAUCAUCAUAUUAGAAUUUUUUUUAGAACCAUAGCCCCUAUGUUCAAAGGCAUAGGUUGUCAAAUUAGGUUUAAAAAAAAGCAAGACUCUACUAUAUGCUGCCUGCAAGAAACCCACUUUAAGUGUGAAGACGGAAAUAGAAAGUGAAAUGACGGAGAAAGAUAUGCCGUGCGGAUCAAGAGGAAAUGAAGUGGCAAUUUAAACUCCAAACAAAACAUGUUGGGAGCAAAGAAUAUCAGUAAGGAUAAAAAGCCAUUUCUUCUUAAAUUCUAAUUCAUUAUACAUGGCAGCGGAAUGCAUUUUGACACAGUGCACACAGAUGGAGCACACCUUCUCAUUCCUCUGGCUGCCGAUUCU